GCACAGAGGGGUGCCCUAGACCCCUAGACGUGACCUAGAAAAUGGGCUGACUGGACUUUUAGAGCUGUGACUUUGAUUUCCCUCUGUCUGUGUCUGUGCAAAAUUUCUCAGAAGCAGAUGAAAGAAGUAAUUUACAGUUUACUCACAGCGAAGAGUUUGUCUGAGACCACAAGAGAGAAAGGCCUCUCCUGUGAGAACCUGACCGACUUCUUUGGUGACUUUCCAGAACAAGGAAGAUUUGCUGUUGUUUUCCUUUCAUGUAUGGGGUGGAUUUCCCACUUUUUCACUGCUCUUUUUCUCCGAGUAGACCAAGUUUCUUCUUUGCUCACCAAAGGGUUGAAGGCUGUCCUGGAGGCGUAAGGAGAAAGAAAGAGACAAUAAAGCUGGAAGGAGAAGUUUCUGGGAGGGAGACAGCGCGUGCCUGCCCUCAGAGCUGUCGCUGCUCGGGAGACAAGCCUCAGGAGGGAGUGCAAGGGACAGCCAGGCACUAGAGGCCUGGGCGCUGUGACUCGAGUUCUCCAACUCGCCCGAGACAUCCGGCCUCUACAGAGCAGCAGCAGGUCUGCCACAGCGGCCGCAGCAGACUCCCCGAGGCCUCCCCCGCCUGGGGCCCGGUGAGACCCCAGGGUUUGACCCCUUCGCAGGAAGCAGCCCCAAGAAGGCCUACGGUUUAACUUCUUC
rnacentral:lncRNA from 1 species